UCCAGACUCCUACGGGAGGCAGCAGUGGGGGAUAUUGCACAAUGGGGGGAACCCUGAUGCAGCGACGCCGCGUGGGUGAAGGAGCGUUUCGGCGCGUAAAGCCCUAUCGGCAGGGAAGAAGGAGGACGGUACCUGACUAAGAAGCCCCGGCUAACUACGUGCCAGCAGCCGCGGUAAUACGUAGGGGGCAAGCGUUAUCCGGAUUUACUGGGUGUAAAGGGGGCGCAGACGGCAGCGCAAGCCAGGAGUGAAAGCCCGGGGCCCAACCCCGGGACUGCUCUUGGAACUGCGCGGCUGGAGUGCAGGAGGGGCAGGCGGAAUUCCUGGUGUAGCGGUGAAAUGCGUAGAUAUCAGGAGGAACACCGGUGGCGAAGGCGGCCUGCUGGACUGCGACUGACGUUGAGGCCCGAAAGCGUGGGGAGCAAACAGGAUUAGAUACCCCUGUAUAC
rnacentral:rRNA from 1 species